GCAUAUCAAUAAGCGGAGGAAAAGAAACCAACAGGGAUUACCUCAGUAACGGCGAGUGAAGCGGUAACAGCUCAAAUUUGAAAUCUGGCCGCAAGGUCCGAGUUGUAAUUUGUAGAGGAUGUUUCGAGCAUGGUCUGGCCUAAGUUCCUUGGAACAGGACGUCAUAGAGGGUGAGAAUCCCGUAUGCGGUCAGGUGCCUACGCUCAUGUGAAACUCCUUCGACGAGUCGAGUUGUUUGGGAAUGCAGCUCAAAAUGGGUGGUAAAUUUCAUCUAAAGCUAAAUAUUGGCCAGAGACCGAUAGCGCACAAGUAGAGUGAUCGAAAGAUGAAAAGCACUUUGGAAAGAGAGUUAAACAGUACGUGAAAUUGUUGAAAGGGAAGCGCUUGCAACCAGACUUGCGCGCGGCUGAUCAUCCGGGCUUCUGCCCGGUGCACUCGGUCGCGCUCAGGCCAGCAUCGGUUUUGGUGGCGGGAUAAAGGCCUUGGGAAUGUAGCUCCUCUCGGGGAGUGUUAUAGCCCAGGGUGCAAUGCCGCCUACCGGGACCGAGGACCGCGCUUCGGCUAGGAUGCUGGCGUAAUGGUUGUAAGCGACCCGUCUUGAAACACGGACCA
rnacentral:rRNA from 1 species